GGAUAUGAGGGGGUCUGGCUGCGACAUCUGUCACCCCAGUGAUCGCCAGCGUUGAUUCGGCUGAUCUGGCUGGCUAGGUGGGUGUCUCUUUCCUCCCUCACCGCUCCACGUGUUUCCCUCCUGAAGCUGCACACUCGGUCGAAGAGGACGGCCUUCCCCGAAUAGAGACGGACCAGACAGGUGUAGGAGUAGCUGCGCUCCCCUGCUAGGACCUCCAAACAAGCUCUCAAUUUCUCUGUCUCUACCAAAAUAAAUAAAUAUUUUUACAUGCUAUCAACUAUGUUUCAUGAUAAACAUUAAAGGUCAGGCAGUGAGCACAGUGAAGAA
rfam:Erinaceus europaeus unplaced genomic scaffold scaffold00018, whole genome shotgun sequence